UUCAGCAAGGUCAAGCCAAGCCUGAAUGGAAUUAAUCUGGGCGAGAAAAUACUCUGACUCUUCUAUUCCAUUACAUUACGAAGAAGUACAUUCUCCUCAUGAUCGAGCCACGUCCUACCCGGGCUUAGAAAGCUAGCUUACUAAGGCGAAGCUCUUUUUUAUUUUGCACGAUAUAGCCAUAAAAUCCAUACCUUUUCCCGCUUCCAUCCCCCUAUCAGAUCUUUUCUUUGAACAGGACUUACGCUUCAAUCAAGUAGGAAAGAGCGAAAUUCAAUCAUAAAACAGAACAGACAACUAAGAAGCCAUUUUUCAUUAAACCACUGCAACCAGCCUCUAUAUCCUUAGAUGGAUCCUCUGGACACCGAAGUUUGGGUCAUCCCUGAUGACUCAGAAGAGAUAGAGCGGGGGUUGGUAGCCGUCAAUAGCCCAGAUGGAGAUAGAAUGCGGGGAGACCCCGAUCUCCAUGAGGAUGACGAUUGGGAAGUGGUUGCCCCAAAGCAAGAAUUAAGGGUUCCGGUCACCCCACUUCGACUCACCAAGGGGAAGAUAAGUCUUUUUUUUGUUUCUUCUUAAGUGAUAUAGAUUAAUGCCUGGGCUGGGGGGCGUAG
rnacentral:lncRNA from 1 species